UACGGAGGAUGCAAGCGUUAUCCGGAUUUAUUGGGUUUAAAGGGUGCGCAGGUUGUUUGAUAAGUCAGUGGUGAAAGUCUGUCGCUUAACUGUAAAAUUGCCGUUGAUACUGGUAUUCUUGAGUGUAUAUGAAGUAGGCGGAAUUUGUAGUGUAGCGGUGAAAUGCAUAGAUAUCACGAGGAACUCCGAUUGCGCAGGCAGCUUACUAAACCAUAACUGACGCUCAGGCACGAAGGCGUGGGGAUCAAACAGGAUUAGAUA
rnacentral:rRNA from 1 species